GGAUCACCUGGUGUAAGAACACACCUGGAAAAAUUACAGUUUUAGUUAAUAGGACUGAAUAAUAUGAUAUUUAAAUAUAAAGAAAGAAUAAAGGAAUGUUUACAUGAGAAUACAAAAAUGAGCCUAGACGUGAAUAUAAAACAUGAAAGAUAAUAUUCAUUUUGCUAAUGUAAUUUGCAUAACCUUGUAGUCCAUACGUAAACAAUGCUAGGAAAAGAAAAGUUGGACCCCCUCAAUAUAUAAUGUACAAGGCAUAUAGUUGAUACAUGGCUCAUCACAAAAUUACAAGGUCCUCAUUAUUAUUUCAAUUCUAAAUGGUAGAACAGUAACUUGGUGAUUUCAUACAACAAAAUAUCAACUGCAUCAAUUAGAUGAAUAUCAGUUCAUGGCACACAACCCAACAACCAAAUGAUUGGGCUUGAAGCAUAGUUGUGUACUGUAUUACAUACUAAUUUAUUUCUUCAAUGUAUGGAUAUUUCUUUUUUAUUUUUUUGAACUCUAUUUCCAACCCUUGCUUAUUUUAAUUGUAAAGGCAAAAUUGAUUUAUCUGAAGCAACUAAGCGAGUGUUACAGGUUCCUUCACAUCUAUGUGUAUAUCUUAGCUUCUAAUGAAUAGAAUCUCUAGUGCCAUAGAAAAGCUACGUUCACAGUAGGAUACGAAGUUAAGAACUAAAAAUGGACAAGCAUACAGUAUUGAAUCAUUCACAAACAGAAUCCAGCAGCAGUGACCAUGAACCAUUCAACUGUUCAGCCACUGGUGACAUAUGAAAUAGAUUCUUUGCCUGAGGGUAAAAGCUGAAAGUAAUUAUUGACAACAGUAAUAUUUUUUCCCUUACUGGAGCAAUGAACCUUGCCCUUCAAUAUAGUAAUCUUCUGGAGAGGUGAGUGCUAGGUCCGCAAAACAAGAAAAAUCA
rnacentral:misc_RNA from 1 species